rnacentral:rRNA from 1 species
CUCAGGAUGAACGCUGGCGGCGUGCCUAACACAUGCAAGUCGAGCGAUUUACUUCGGUAAAGAGCGGCGGACGGGUGAGUAACGCGUGGGUAACCUGCCCUGUACACACGGAUAACAUACCGAAAGGUAUGCUAAUACGAGAUAAUAUGCUUUUAUCGCAUGGUAGAAGUAUCAAAGCUUUUGCGGUACAGGAUGGACCCGCGUCUGAUUAGCUAGUUGGUAAGGUAACGGCUUACCAAGGCGACGAUCAGUAGCCGACCUGAGAGGGUGAUCGGCCACAUUGGAACUGAGACACGGUCCAAACUCCUACGGGAGGCAGCAGUGGGGAAUAUUGCACAAUGGGCGAAAGUCUGAUGCAGCAACGCCGCGUGAGCGAUGAAGGCCUUCGGGUCGUAAAGCUCUGUCCUCAAGGAAGAUAAUGACGGUACUUGAGGAGGAAGCCCCGGCUAACUACGUGCCAGCAGCCGCGGUAAUACGUAGGGGGCUAGCGUUAUCCGGAAUUACUGGGCGUAAAGGGUGCGUAGGUGGUUUCUUAAGUCAGAGGUGAAAGGCUACGGCUCAACCGUAGUAAGCCUUUGAAACUGGGAAACUUGAGUGCAGGAGAGGAGAGUGGAAUUCCUAGUGUAGCGGUGAAAUGCGUAGAUAUUAGGAGGAACACCAGUUGCGAAGGCGGCUCUCUGGACUGUAACUGACACUGAGGCACGAAAGCGUGGGGAGCAAACAGGAUUAGAUACCCUGGUAGUCCACGCCGUAAACGAUGAGUACUAGCUGUCGGAGGUUACCCCCUUCGGUGGCGCAGCUAACGCAUUAAGUACUCCGCCUGGGAAGUACGCUCGCAAGAGUGAAACUCAAAUGAAUUGACG